CCACAAGGGGUGAAGCUUGCGGUUUAAUUGGAGUCAACGCCGGAAAUCUCACCGGGAGCGACAGCAGAUUGAAGGCCAGAUUAAAGGUCUUGCCAGACAAGCUGAGAGGAGGUGCAUGGCCGUCGCCAGUUCGUGCCGUGAGGUGUCCUGUUAAGUCAGGCAACGAUCGAGACCCGCGUCCUCUGUUGCAACUAGCUUUGUGCUGGGCACACUGAGGAGACCGCCACUGAUAAAGUGGAGGAAGGAGCGGGCCACGGCAGGUCAGUAUGCCCCGAAUCUCCCGGGCCACACGCGAGCUGCAAUGGUAGGGACAGUGGGUUCCGACCUCGACAGAGGAAGGCAAUCCUCAAACCCUACCCCAGUUGUGAUUGAGGGCUGAAACCCGCCCUCAUGAAUAUGGAAUCCCUAGUAACCGCGUGUCAUCACCGCGCGGUGAAUACGUCCCUGCUCCUUGC
rnacentral:rRNA from 1 species